rnacentral:rRNA from 1 species
CCUACGGGUGGCAGCAGUGGGGAAUAUUGGACAAUGGGGGCAACCCUGAUCCAGCCAUGCCGCGUGUGUGAAGAAGGCCCUCGGGUUGUAAAGCACUUUCAGUGAGGAAGAACGCCUGGUGGUUAAUACCCAUCAGGAAAGACAUCACUCACAGAAGAAGCACCGGCUAACUCCGUGCCAGCAGCCGCGGUAAUACGGAGGGUGCGAGCGUUAAUCGGAAUUACUGGGCGUAAAGCGCGCGUAGGUGGCUUGAUAAGCCGGUUGUGAAAGCCCCGGGCUCAACCUGGGAACGGCAUCCGGAACUGUCAAGCUAGAGUGCAGGAGAGGAAGGUGGAAUUCCCGGUGUAGCGGUGAAAUGCGUAGAGAUCGGGAGGAAUACCAGUGGCGAAGGUGGCCUUCUGGACUGACACUGACACUGAGGUGCGAAAGCGUGGGUAGCAAACAGGAUUAGAUACCCUAGUAGUC